rnacentral:misc_RNA from 1 species
GAUGAAGAACGUAGCGAAAUGCGAUAAGUAAUGUGAAUUGCAGAAUUCAGUGAAUCAUCGAAUCUUUGAACGCACAUUGCGCCCGCCAGUAUUCUGGCGGGCAUGCCUGUUCGAGCGUCAUUUCAACCAUCAAGCCCCCGGCUUGUGUUGGGGACCUGCGGCUGCCGCAGGCCCUGAAAAGCAGUGGCGGGCUCGCUGUCACACCGAGCGUAGUAGCAUACAUCUCGCUCUGGGCGUGCUACGGGUUCCGGCCGUUAAACCACCUUCAUAACCCAAGGUUGACCUCGGAUCAGGUAGGAAGACCCGCUGAACUUAAGCAUAUCAAUAAGCGGAGGA